UUCGGGGCUUUUUGGUGAUUCAUGAUAACUUUACGGAUCGCAUAGCCUUGCGCUGGCGACGGUUCAUUCAAAUUUCUGCCCUAUCAACUUUCGAUGGUAAGGUAUUGGCUUACCAUGGUUUCAACGGGUAACGGGGAAUUAGGGUUCGAUUCCGGAGAGGGAGCCUGAGAAACGGCUACCACAUCCAAGGAAGGCAGCAGGCGCGCAAAUUACCCAAUCCCGACACGGGGAGGUAGUGACAAUAAAUACUGAUACAGGGCUCUUUUGGGUCUUGUAAUUGGAAUGAGUACAAUUUAAACCUCUUAACGAGGAACAAUUGGAGGGCAAGUCUGGUGCCAGCAGCCGCGGUAAUUCCAGCUCCAAUAGCGUAUAUUAAAGUUGUUGCAGUUAAAAAGCUCGUAGUUGAAACUUGGGCCUGGCUGGCGGGUCCGCCUCACCGCGUGCACUCGUCCGGCCGGGCCUUCCUUCUGAAGAACCUCAUGCCCUUCACUGGGCGUGCUGGGGAAUCAGGACUUUUACUUUGAAAAAAUUAGAGUGUUCAAAGCAGGCCUUUGCUCGAAUACGUUAGCAUGGAAUAAUAAAAUAGGGCGUGCGUUUCUAUUUUGUUGGUUUCUAGAGACGCCGCAAUGAUUAACAGGAACAGUCGGGGGCAUCAGUAUUCAGUUGUCAGAGGUGAAAUUCUUGGAUUUACUGAAGACUAACUACUGCGAAAGCAUUUGCCAAGGAUGUUUUCAUUAAUCAGUGAACGAAAGUUAGGGGAUCGAAGACGAUCAGAUACCGUCGUAGUCUUAACCGUAAACUAUGCCGACUAGGGAUCGGGCGAUGUUCUUUUUCUGACUCGCUCGGCACCUUACGAGAAAUCAAAGUUUUGGGUCUGGGGGAUAGCUACGCCCCC
rnacentral:rRNA from 1 species